UGUGCAAGUGAGACAGAAGCCUUUUGGACAAAAUAUCCACAGUGCAGCAGAAGUGGGUAAAGGUGAUAGGUGAGAAAAUCAAAAUAAACCCUGUAACAGCUGUCCAUUGGGUUAGAAAGUUCUGUAUUGCCUUGUAACAAAGAAACCUGUGACUACUCUUGAGCUAUGGCAGACUGCCUGCUCCUCUGAAAUCCCACAGCCUCUGAGACUGGUGUUCAUCUCAGCCAUAAAUCAUUUUAGCUUGAAAAUAGCCCCAUCCCUUCAUUUUAGCAGUGACACUGAUACUGUGAUACCCUGGGCUCUGCCCCUGGCCCACAGGCAGUGCUCAGGUCUCUCCUCACCCCUGUGUGCUCCAGCCCUGAGCCCUUGGCUCAGCACUGUGGGUUUGCCCCAGUUUGGGAGCCUGUCCUGUACUGGGAGCCCUGUACUGGCCCAGUGAGGUCCUGUACUGGGAGCCCUGUACUGGCCCAGUGAGGUCCUGUACUGGCCCAGUGAGGUCCCACCCUGGGAGCCCUGUACUGGCCCAGUGAGGUCCCACCCUGGGAGCCCUGUACUGGCCCAGUGAGGCCCUGUACUGGCCCAGUGAGGUCCCAUCCUGGGAGCCCUGUACUGGCCCAGUGAGGUCCCACCCUGGGAGCCCUGUACUGGCCCAGUGAGGUCUCCUGGAGUGCUGAGCAGGAGGAGGUGUCAGUGUCACUGCUGGUAAUGAAGGGACUAUUUUCAAGCUAAAAUGAUUUAUGGCUGAGAUGAACACCAGUCUC